rnacentral:rRNA from 1 species
GGUCAAGCUACUAAGGGCGUACGGUGGAUGCCUUGGCGCAGAGAGGCGAUGAAGGACGUGGCAGGCUGCGAUAAGCCUCGGGGAGCCGCGAGCAGGCUUUGAUCCGGGGAUUUCCGAAUGGGGAAACCCGAUGGGGGUAAUGCCUCAUCAUCCGUUACUGAAUCCAUAGGUAGCGGAAGCGAACUCGGGGAAGUGAACCAUCUCAGUACCCGAAGGAAGAGAAAGCAACCGCGAUUCCCCAAGUAGCGGCGAGCGAACGGGGAACUAGCCCAAACCGUUAUGAUGUCAAGCCCGUAGGCGUUGUCAUGGCGGGGUUGUGGGGCUCGGCACGGCUCGGUUACGGACGAGUCAGGAAGUUACCAAUCGUGGCGUUAGUCGAACGGCCCUGGAAAGGCCGGCGAUACAGAGUGAAAGCCUCGUAGGCGAAAACGCUCACGACUUCCAGCUGAGUUCCCGAGUACCACGGGGCACGUGAAACCCUGUGGGAAUCUGGGGGGACCAUCCUCCAAGGCUAAAUACUUCUCUGCGACCGAUAGUGAACUAGUACCGUGAGGGAAAGGUGAAAAGAACCUCUGUUAGAGGAGUGAAAUAGUACCUGAAACCGUAUGCCUACAAGCAGUGGGAGGGCGUUUGCGGCUGGCUUCGGCUGGUCGUGUUGCCUGACCGCGUGCCUUUUGCAUAAUGAGCCGGCUAGUUA